rnacentral:lncRNA from 1 species
UUCUCAUCUCACAAGAGGAAGAGAUCAGGGCUUUAUAUGAGGAGGAUUCAGAGGAGGGAGAGCAGAAGAGCAGAUCACCUGGAGAAUAAACAGGAAGUGCUAAGAGAAAUUUACCUUUCCUUCAGAAGCAACCACACAAGUAGAGAGGAUAGAUUUCUCCCAGUGACUGUGGAGAACAAUGGUCCUAAAAUGCUGGAGCUGACUGAAUGAUCACACUGCAUUGCAGAUUGUACCUAGGGUGUUGUGCAUUCUGAGCAAAAUUCUACUGCUGAGCUGUACUCCCAAAGCCUCCUGAUAACUUUUGAAUGGAUGAAGGGUCACAUUUAAAGGCUCCAAGAGAUAGACAUCCAUGUCCCGGAGAGACUGUUUUUCUGCCUCCUCUAGCCUCCUUCAACACCUCCAGAUCCAAGUGGGUGGUUCAACCGAGAAACACAAUGAGACUACAUUGAAAAAGUGAAGUGCAAUCAGGUCUCAUGUGCUGACCAGAUGCUAGAUCCAAAAUAGGCACAAGAGUCCCAGAGCACAACUGGUACAAAAGCUCUGUGAACAACUAGUGGCUUCAGGUUUGGUGGCUUCCUCAAAACAGUGGAAACUUCAGAGCUGCGAUGGGAGGCAAGCUUUGAAGUUUCUAUGUGAGAAAAAAUAUAAUUAUCAAAGUGGAAAAGUAGCUGAAACCGAUUUUGGAAACUCUCUUUUUAUGCAAGCAUAUAAGAAAUGGCCUUUGUAAAAUA